UACGUAGGGACCAAGCGUUUGUUCGGAAUUACUGGGCGUAAAGCGCGUGUAGGCGGCAGGGCAUGUCGGAUGUGAAAUUCCGUGGCUCAACCACGGAAGUGCACCCGAAACUGCCCAGCUUGAGGCUCGGAGAGGAAGGCGGAAUGCUUGGUGUAGAGGUGAAAUUCGUAGAUAUCAAGCGGAACACCGGUGGCGAAGGCGGCCUUCUGGACGAUGACUGACGCUGAGACGCGAAAGCGUGGGGAGCAAACAGG
rnacentral:rRNA from 1 species